ACUGGGCAGGUGAGGGACACCUGCUCACCUGCCAGCACCCACAGGGUGCCGUUCAGCACCGGGGGGCGCGGGGAGUCUGUGGACAGGUGAGAUCAGACAGGUGAGAUCAGACAGGUGAGAUAUGGACAGGUGACAUUGGACAGGUGACAUUGGACAGGUGACACUGGACAGGUGACCCUGGGCAGGUGAGGGACACCUGCUCACCUGCCAGCACCCACAGGGUGCCAUUGAGCACUGGAGGGCGUGGGGAGUCUGUGGACAGGUGAGACAGGUGAGACAGGUGAGAUCAGACAGGUGACAGUGACAUUGGACAGGUGACACUGGGCAGGUGAGGGACACCUGCUCACCUGCCAGCACCCACAGGGUGCCAUUGAGCACCGG